CGGAUCACCUCUCGGACUACUUGUCCCAGGCACGGAUUCUCUGCAGAGGGCAUAGAAGUCAGGGCAUUGGUGGUCUAGGUGGCCAGCAGGACCAUGAACAGUUCCCAGGUAUAAAAUGUGGAAAAGUCCUCGAGGCACGGGGUGGACUGCCUGGGAUCCUGGUGGCAGGGAGCAAGACUUCUCAGUGUCCAUGCAGGAGAAAGAUCCCCCAAGCCUCUCAAGACCACAGAAGGCACUAUGUUCCUGAGAAGCCUCCUCUUUCUUGUCAUCUGGAGACACCUAGAGAAGCAGACAAGUAUCUGUGUGGGACUUGCACAUUUUCUGGGACAGAGCAAACCACAAAGCCUCAUUCUGUACCUGAGUUUCCCGGGAAUGAAUUCUGGUUGACACUUCCUAGCUGCUUGACCUUGACAUUGGCAGUUGUGGAGAUUAAAUGAGAUUAUACAAGCACUCACUCUCAGGACCAAAGUGCAACAAAUCAGCAGUGCACCCUGGUCAACGGCAGACACCAGCUCCUAGCUGAAUGUCUGGAAAAUGUGGAUUUCAAGAGACGGUUGACUACACCUGAAGGAAGCAUAAACACAAUGCAAGCGCCUCUCUGCCAGCCUCAAACACCACUAGGUCUACAGGGGCCCUAAAGGAGGAAGCUCUGGGCCCAGGCUCCAUUCGGACCUCCCAUUUUUCUACCCACGAACACCCCUCCCCAUGGAAUAGUCUGUGCCAGGCUAAGCAGGGCACAGUGCUUGGGCCAAAGGCACACAGAGGAAGUUCUUCCUGGAAAACCUUGGAAGAAAGAAAUGGAUGGCCCCAGAGGACACAGCGAUGAUGCUGACAAUGGACAGAAAACUGCUCAGCUGAGAAAGGAAGAGACAUAUCUACCCAAGGGAGUUACUGGAGUUUCAGAGAUCAUAUGAAGAGCUGUGCUUAAGACCGGAAGUUCUGGAGCCAGGCUGUGUGAGUCAAACCUGACUUUGUCGCUUACCAGCUGUGUGACUAAGGGCAAAGCAAUUUACCCUCUCUGUGCUUCAGCCUCUAUUGUAAAACAGGUAUGAGAAUAAAAAGGCUUGCCAC